rnacentral:piRNA from 1 species
UGUUUAAUCCAUGGUGCUAGUCUCUGACCUC